ensembl:lncRNA
AGGCAGGUAGUUUUAAUGUUAUGGCUGAUCAGUGUACGUAUAUUUACAGUGACUCUCCAUAAAAAAUAUAUAUAUUUUGUUAAACUGUGUGUCAGUGACAGUGAAUGAGGACUAGCCUCUCACUAUCUCUACCAUCCUUACUAGACUUUCUACAGUUGGCAUAAAGCUGGUAUUGGGACAGGUCCGUGUUAUUUAUUUAGUUUUGUAUUUCCCCCCAGUUUUAUCCCUUAGUUAGUCAUGGCCAAUUCCUACCUAUAACACAUUCUGAGGAACACACUAUCCACCCACUUUCUGCAUGCAUGAGCUCUCAGACGAUUGCCUAUGACUGGCUAGUGUCGCUGUGAUUGAUAAGGUAUGCCACCCCUCCCUCCCUGAACUCGCUAUCUCCGGAUGAUCGCGCAACUGCUUUUCUGUUGUAACUCAGGACUCCCAUGUCAGCAUUAUGUUUAAUCCAGUGUACACCUAAUCAUCUUUUGUAUGCUCUUCGCAUUCACCUGUGUAAAAUGACGCCUAACUUAUUCCCCUCCAUUCUUUUUAAGCACAACGUUUCUCCAUAUUUUUCAGUACAAGAGGCAUGACUCUGUUCUGCUCAUAUUACAGCUCAUGAUCGGGGAACGUAAGGGUGACCUUGAAUUGUGAAUUUCCCAUUUGGAGGUGGAUUUAAUGUAGUGACAAAAUGAAAAAUGAGAUAGUAGAGAUAAAACAAUUUUUGGAGAUUUUUCUGCAGCCCCACUGGGAAAAUGUAUAUUAAUGUUUACUCUAUGGAGAGAGCCUUUGCUGACAUCCUGUCUUAUGAUCAAUGGCUAGGCAAAUUGUCCCAUUUUCUCUCGUUUGAGAAAAUUAUGCCAUUUAGGAAUCUUUUCUCAGGAUGGUAAUCUUAGCUAACCGUUUAACCCUAAAUAUCUUCAUGACUCAUCACAUUUUAAAGCCAUUUAUUAAUUAUCCCCACCCCAAUACACCCCCUUUUUUUUCCCCUCUCCUCGUGUAGGUGGGUUGUUAAAUGGGUACUAAUACAGUAUGUCUUCAUUUGGACCAUCUGUAAUUUCCUGCACCAUAGUGAAAACCGAAAAAAAAAAAAGUAUUGACAUGCACAUUACUGUCUCAUAGAAGGAGAGAUACACAAAGUCCAUUAUUUUGUCUUUUUUAAUUAUAGAUAUCAUUAUCAGUAUUACUCAGCCCACAGACUGCACAUCAAAGUCAUCAGACAAUUAAGUUUGUACAUCCUAAAAACAGGCAUCCAUUCACAUCUUCAGAAAUGUAUUACCCAUAAAAAAAUUGAAAUGAUGGAAAGCAGGAAAUGAAAGCGUCCCUUAACGACGCUCCAUCGUCACCAAGUGCGCAUUUCCUGCUUUCCAACUCGCUUUGCGAUCAUUUCCAUCCUCACCCCACACCUCCAUUUCCCAAUGAAGAUAACACGAAGUACAAGCAAGGCCCACCUCAUCAUACCCGCGGGAUCAGGACUGCCAUUUGAGUGGUCAGUUUGCAUGGCCCCGCCUCUUACUCUUCAGUCCUUUUCAGGCUGUUUCUGUCCAUCGUAUUUCCCUUGUGGAUUUUUUUUUUUCUUACAAUUCUCACAUUUUUCUAAUAGCGGAUGUUCUUUAUACAGCAGAGGCAUCCAGGAGCUUCAAGAGUUUAUUUUUGUGAGAGUUUUCUCACAGGAUUGUAAAGGAAAAAAAAAGAGGAGAGGAAGAUCGUAUCUCGCAACAGUUUCACACCAGUCUGUCUGUGGUUCCACAUCCAGACAUUAAGCAGCUUUCCAGAUGUCUACGAGCAAGCACGCACACAAACACACACGCGCACACACACACGCACACACUCAUGGGAGGAAUUGGAGUGACAUUGUAAAUUGAAAAUGUAAAUGAAAUAUCAGUAAACGUUCCGAUGUGACUCAGUGGGAAAUUUCAAUUCCCAAUGCUGCCAACCCCACCCCCUGCACACUCGCACCCACACACACAAAUCAGACUGAAACGUUCAUAGCACAGCAAAAUGUAAACUUCACACACACACACACACACACACACACACACACACCCCUGCUUUGGCGCACAGAACACACACCCAUGUGAAUUCCAACCCCAUAAUCCAGGUAUGCCUCUACACCUAACCCCGCCCCUAUGCCACACCCCC